CUAACUUUAUGUUUAAAACUGUCUAAACAUUUCAGGAAUAUCUGCUAAAGUUCCUAUGUAGAUCCUCUUGAGCUACCCCUUGAUUAACUAGUUCUCUUUGGUAUCUAUAUAAUAACUGCCUUUGUAUUUUUAUCGUGAUAUAUCAAAAAUUAGCAUUUAGGAGCAUGGAAGAAGUAGCAUUCAUGGUUUUAAAAUAUGUUUUGCCUUUCUUGAAGUCUCUGUGGCUCCAUGUUUACUUACUGGCAGUGCUGUGGCCUAGACUGGCUUCUAUGAUAUCCUUUGGUGCCAGGUUAUUUCAGAUUGUUGAUGGUGCUCAGCCUCUGAGAGGUAGUUUUAGAUAUUAACCUAUUUAAUGUAAUAAUGUAAUGAAAAGUUUUAGUACUAAAAUAAGUGUAUGACCCCUUCAUUAAUUCCAUUACAAAAUUACUUUAUCAAAAACAAAUCAGCUAGAAAAAAAAUUACAUCUUAUGUUUUCUUAUAUAGAUAAAGAGAGGCCUGUCCAGUCUUUGAAAACAUCAAGAGAUACUUCACCCUCAAGUGGUUCAGCAGUUUCUUCAUCAAAGGUGUUAGACAAACCCAGUAGGCUAACUGAAAAGGAACUUGCUGAGGCUGCAAGCAAGUGGGCUGCUGAAAAGCUAGAGAAAUCAGAUGAAAGUAACUUGCCUGAAAUUUCUGAGUAU
rnacentral:sRNA from 1 species